rnacentral:rRNA from 1 species
AUUGAACGCUGGCGGCAGGCCUAACACAUGCAAGUCGAGCGGAGCGGCGGACGGGGGAGUAAUGCCUGGGAAGCAGCCUGUUGGUGGCGUAUAAAGUCGGGGAACGGGCGCUAAUACCGCAUACUAUCAAAGGGCCCUAGGUCGGAUUAGCUAGUUGGUGGGGUAAAGGCCUACCAAGGCGACGAUCCGUAACUGGCCUGAGAGGAUGAUCAGUCACACUGGAACUGAGACACGGCCCAGACUCCUACGGGAGGCAGCAGUAGGGAAUAUUGGACAAUGGGCGAAAGCCUGAUCCAGCCAUGCCGCGUGUGUGAAGAAGGUUUUCGGAUCGUAAAGCACUGUAAGUUGAGAAGCGUUAUCAACAGAAUAAGCACCGGCUAACUUCGUGCCAGCAGCCGCGGUAAUAC